GACGUAGGGGGCGAGCGUUGUCCGGAAUUAUUGGGCGUAAAGAGCUCGUAGGCGGUGUGUCACGUCGGCCGUGAAAACCUGCAGCUUAACUGUGGGCGUGCGGUCGAUACGGGCAUCACUGGAGUUCGGCAGGGGAGACUGGAAUUCCUGGUGUAGCGGUGAAAUGCGCAGAUAUCAGGAGGAACACCGGUGGCGAAGGCGGGUCUCUGGGCCGAUACUGACGCUGAGGAGCGAAAGCGUGGGGAGCAAACAGG
rnacentral:rRNA from 1 species